rnacentral:rRNA from 1 species
AGUGAACGCUGGCGGUAGGCCUAACACAUGCAAGUCGAACGGCAGCACAGUAAGAGCUUGCUCUUACGGGUGGCGAGUGGCGGACGGGUGAGGAAUACAUCGGAAUCUACUUUUUCGUGGGGGAUAACGUAGGGAAACUUACGCUAAUACCGCAUACGACCUACGGGUGAAAGCAGGGGAUCUUCGGACCUUGCGCGAUUGAAUGAGCCGAUGUCGGAUUAGCUAGUUGGCGGGGUAAAGGCCCACCAAGGCGACGAUCCGUAGCUGGUCUGAGAGGAUGAUCAGGCACACUGGAACUGAGACACGGUCCAGACUCCUACGGAAGGCAGCAGUGGGGAAUAUUGGACAAUGGGCGCAAGCCUGAUCCAGCCAUACCGCGUGGGUGAAGAAGGCCUUCGGGUUGUAAAGCCCUUUUGUUGGGAAAGAAAAGCAGCAGGUUAAUACCCCGCUGUUCUGACGGUACCCAAAGAAUAAGCACCGGCUAACUUCGUG